GACGAACGCUGGCGGCGUGCCUAAUACAUGCAAGUCGAACGCUGAAGGAAGGAGCUUGCUCUUUCUGGAUGAGUUGCGAACGGGUGAGUAACGCGUAGGUAACCUGCCUGGUAGCGGGGGAUAACUAUUGGAAACGAUAGCUAAUACCGCAUAAAAUUGAUUAUUGCAUGAUAGUCAAUUAAAAGGUGCAACUGCACCACUACCAGAUGGACCUGCGUUGUAUUAGCUAGUUGGUGGGGUAACGGCUCACCAAGGCGACGAUACAUAGCCGACCUGAGAGGGUGAUCGGCCACACUGGGACUGAGACACGGCCCAGACUCCUACGGGAGGCAGCAGUAGGGAAUCUUCGGCAAUGGACGGAAGUCUGACCGAGCAACGCCGCGUGAGUGAAGAAGGUUGUCGGAUCGUAAAGCUCUGUUGUAAGAGAAGAACGAGUGUGAGAGUGGAAAGUUCACACUGUGACGGUAGCUUACCAGAAAGGGACGGCUAACUACGCG
rnacentral:rRNA from 1 species